rnacentral:rRNA from 1 species
GACAGAGGCCUCGAGCGUUAGGCGGAAUCACUGGGCUUAAAGCGUGUGUAGGCGGAUGCCUAAGUACAUUGUGAAAUCCCACGGCUCAACCGUGGAACGGCUGGGUAUACUGGGCGUCUUGAGCCAGCUAGGGGCGACCGGAACAAACGGUGGAGCGGUGAAAUGCGUAGAUAUCGUUUGGAACGCCUGUGGUGAAAACGGGUCGCUGGGGCUGUGCUGACGCUGAGACACGAAAGCCAGGGGAGCAAACGGG